rnacentral:rRNA from 1 species
UAAGAUAUUUAUUUAAGAUAUAUUCUGCUCAGUGAAAAAUUAAAUAGCUGCAGUAUAUUGACUGUACAAAGGUAGCAUAAUAGAUUGCCUUUUAAUUGAAGGCUAGAAUGAAUGAAUGAACAAAAAUAUAACUGUUUAGUAUAUAUAAAUAUAAUUUAAUAUAUUAGUGAAGAAGCUAAUAUUUUAUUAAAAGACAGAAAGACCCUUUGAGCUAUUAUUUAAGUUAAUAUAAUUAUAUAAAUUUAAUUUUGACUGGGGUGGUUUAGGAAUAUAUAUAACUUCCUUAUAUUAUUAUGAUAAUAAAUCUAUUAUUGAUCUUAAAAUAGUUUUAGAUAAGUUACCUAAGGGAUAACAGAUUAAUUUUUUUGGAAAGUUCUUAUUGAUAAAAAAGAUUAAUACCUCGAUGUUGGCUUAAAAUUUCCUUUAGAUGAAGAAGUUUAUAGGGUUAGUUUGUUCAACUAUUAAAAUUUUACGUGAUC